UACUCCUACGGGAGGCAGCAGUGGGGAAUAUUGGACAAUGGGCGAAAGCCUGAUCCAGCAAUGCCGCGUGAGUGAUGAAGGCCUUAGGGUUGUAAAGCUCUUUUACCCGGGAUGAUAAUGACAGUACCGGGAGAAUAAGCUCCGGCUAACUCCGUGCCAGCAGCCGCGGUAAU
rnacentral:rRNA from 1 species